rnacentral:rRNA from 1 species
UACAGAGGUCCCAAGCGUUGUUCGGAUUCACUGGGCGUAAAGGGUGCGUAGGUGGCGAGGUAAGUCGGAUGUGAAAGCUCGGAGCUCAACUCCGAAAUGGCAUUGGAAACUACCUUGCUCGAGGGUUGGAGGGGGGACUGGAAUGCUUGGUGUAGCAGUGAAAUGCGUAGAUAUCAAGCGGAACACCAGUGGCGAAGGCGAGUCCCUGGACAACUCCUGACACUGAGGCACGAAAGCUAGGGGAGCAAGCAGG